AUUGAACGCUGGCGGCAGGCCUAACACAUGCAAGUCGAGCGAGGGGCGGACGGGUGAGUAAUGUCUGGGAAACUGCCUGAUGGAGGGGGAUAACUACUGGAAAAGGUAGCUAAUACCGCAUACCAUCAGAUGUGCCCAGAUGGGAUGAGCUAGUAGGUGGGGUAACGGCUAACCUAGGCGACGAUCCCUAGCUGGUCUGAGAGGAGGACCAGCAACACUGGAACUGGGAAACGGUCCAGACUCCUACGGGAGGCAGCAGUGGGGAAUAUUGCCCAAUGAGCGAAAGCCUGAUGCAGCCAUGCCGCGGGUGUGAAGAAGGCCUUCGGGUUGUAAAGCACUUUCAGUGGGGAGGCGUUACCCACAGAGGAAGCACCGGCUAACUACGUGCCAGCAGCCGCGGUAAUAC
rnacentral:rRNA from 1 species